CCGGGGACGCGGCUGGCUUGCUGGCCGCACCUUGGGUUGCAAUGCUAUAUAAUCCACACGACUCUCGGCAACGGAUAUCUCGGCUCUCGCAUCGAUGAAGAACGUAGCGAAAUGCGAUACCUGGUGUGAAUUGCAGAAUCCCGCGAACCAUCGAGUCUUUGAACGCAAGUUGCGCCCGAGGCCUUCUGGCCGAGGGCACGCCUGCCUGGGCGUCACGCCAAACACGCUCCCACCCCACUAAACAUGGGGCGGGAUGCGGCAUGUGGCUCCCCGUCUCGCAAGGGGCGGUGUGCCGAAGAUCUGGCUGCCGGUGUAUCGUGCCGGACACAGCGCGUGGUAGGCGAUCUCGCUAUACUAAACGCAGUGCAUCCGGGGCGUAGCCGACGCAAUGCCYUCAUGGACCCUAUAAACGGAGCGCACGACGCUUCUACCGCGACCCCAGGUCAGGCGGGACUACCCGCUGAAUUUAAGCAUAUCAAUAAGCG
rnacentral:rRNA from 1 species